rnacentral:misc_RNA from 1 species
GUUUCUUCAGAUGAAGUCAGGUUUUUUAAUGACCAUAUUGGUCCGUAAGCUAGUCUUUUCUUUGGCAUUUCCAGCUUUACUGCCUGAAUAUGUCUCAUUUAGUUGUAGAAAUCCCUAAAGAAGCCCCGUUAAAAGGGUGUUGGGUAGAGAUUGUAGCUGAGAACUGGGUCAAAGAGGACAUUUUGUACAUACCUGAUAACUCGUACUCGUCAGCCUAUAAACGAAACAUGUUGAUCGGUGGUGCUGAACCGGUUGUUGAAAGUUGGGAAUCGUAUCCAUGUUUUAAAGUAAUUCAUCGAUUCGAUACCUAUGAAGAGGCUAGACAAAAUCUCCCCCGUGCUGAAAAAGGUUUGCCAAUUCUGCCAAAUGAUCCCUCUCAAACUGGCAGAGGUUGUCGACAAACUACUUUGAAAAGCAGACUACUGCCUGGUGAAGUUACCACAGAACAAGAGAGUGAUGUCAGUCUGAACGAUGAAAGUUACUUUGCUACUACCUCCAAGUCAUUACUUAAGACCAACACAACAGCGAUAAAGGAAAAGGAAUCGUUAAACGAUCAGCACCUGGACCAAGUAAAAGCAGUUUACUACCUAUUCCACCCUCUGGACUUCAGAAGAGUUAAGUGUCUUGUGUGCUGUUAAGAUGUGUAACUUUAUUUUUUUUUUAUAAUAAUCUUUAUUUUGAUGAACAGAAAAGAAGAAGGAAAAGCCACACGAUACAAAUCAAGUAGAGACUAUACCAAAAGCAAUUAAUACACCACGAUCACAACAGAUCCAGACGUCAUCAUCUACUACCUGUUUAGUGCCAGCACAUACGUUCAGCAAUCAACCAUCAGCACGUUCUAUUACCGACAACGAUAGUAACGAAUCAUGUUUAGAUUUCAAUAGCGAUUGCACAGAUAUUAAGCAUAAUAGUCAGGAGAUCAAUGACGAAAUGUUGUGUACUGGCUUUCCAAAUGAUACACAAGGAAUGUCAAAUGGAAACAUGGUACAAUCGUUUUCUAUGGACACCCAAUAUCUGACAGCACCAUGCAGAAAUGGGAUUAAUGAAAACCGAAAAACCUCACAAUCAUUUCCUUAAAUUAAUAGCAGCUAGUUCCGUGUUUUCAGUGUUGGCAUAAAUGAAGGAAAAGUUAAACGUGAUUGAAAAACGGUUGCGAAACCAGUCACCGACGAGAAUAAUGAAAAUGAUUCCAGUGACGGGGAAGAUAAUCUCUUCCACUCACUACUCUUGAACAACUUGAACAAUUAGAAAGAGAUCUAGAACGAGAUAAAGCAAUGUUCAACAAAUUGGUCUUGAGGAUUAAAAAACUGGGAAAAAGAAACACUAAACACCCCAUGGGUGAGGGUUUAGUCCCUUCUGAUUCAGUGUCAAAAGAUGUCAACUGGCUUGGUAGACGAGAUAAAAGAGUGAAUGAUGGAAACGGAAAAAGAGGGAUAAAAGAUAGUUUCAUAUCUAAGGCCGUCCUGAAAAAAAAAUAAGGAUUGUGCAUUCAUUGAAAUCUCGGAGUUUGCAUCGGAGACGGCGCUAUUUUUGAAGAACGCUGCAGACACUUUCAAACGUAGACAAGCGAAAGCCAUCCAAGUAGCAGAGGAUCAAGAAAACUCAGAUGACUAAGAAUAAAAGACGAUUUCAGAAGCCGAAGAAGCAGCUAGAGGGAUGCUAUCCAGCAUAUGCCAAAAAUUUUUCUUUUUAAAGAUCUCAAUCAAGAAACUUGUCGUUUUUGUUUAUGUCUUAUGUUUCUCAAUUGUUUCAAAUUGUUACUGUUUGUGUAAAAAUACAGAACUUUGUUUACAACAA